GACGAACGCUGCGGCGUGCCUAAUACAUGCAAGUAGGACGCACAGUUUAUACCGUAGCUUGCUACACCAUAGACUGUGAGUUGCGAACGGGUGAGUAACGCGUAGGUAACCUGCCUAUUAGAGGGGGAUAACUAUUGGAAACGAUAGCUAAUACCGCAUAACAGUAUGUAACACAUGUUAGAUGCUUGAAAGAUGCAAUUGCAUCGCUAGUAGAUGGACCUGCGUUGUAUUAGCUAGUAGGUAGGGUAAAGGCCUACCUAGGCAACGAUACAUAGCCGACCUGAGAGGGUGAUCGGCCACACUGGGACUGAGACACGGCCCAGACUCCUACGGGAGGCAGCAGUAGGGAAUCUUCGGCAAUGGGGGGAACCCUGACCGAGCAACGCCGCGUGAGUGAAGAAGGUUUUCGGAUCGUAAAGCUCUGUUGUUAAGGAAGAACGAGUGUGAGAAUGGAAAGUUCAUGCUGUGACGUACUAACCAAAAGGCGCC
rnacentral:rRNA from 1 species